rnacentral:rRNA from 1 species
AUUAAUUUGAGGUAUAGCCUGCUCUAUGAAUUUAUUUAAAUGGCCGCGGUAUUCUGACCGUGCGAAGGUAGCAUAAUCAUUAGUCUUUUAAUUGAAGGCUGGUAUGAAUGGCUGGACGAGAAAAUUUCUGUCUCUGUUAUAAAUUUUGAAUUUGAUUUUUAAGUGAAAAAGCUUAAAUAUUUUUGGGGGACGAUAAGACCCUAUGGAUCUUUAUAAUGAUGAUUAAUAAAAAGUUUAGAAGUUACAGCUUUUUACUCUAAGUUAUUGGGUUGGGGCGACUGGAAGAAAAAAAUAUCUCUUCUUAAAAAUAAAUAUUAUUUAUAGAAUUAAAAAUGACCCUAAAUUUUGGUUUAGCAGAUCAAGUUACCCUAGGGAUAACAGCGUAAUCUUUUUGGAGAGUUCAUAUCGAUGAAAAGGUUUGCGACCUCGAUGUUGGAUUAAGAGAUCCUUGCGGCGCAGCAGUUGCGGAGGAAAGUCUGUUCGACUUUUAAA